AGCGAACGCUGGCGGCAGGCCUAACACAUGCAAGUCGAACGGACCCUUCGGGGUUAGUGGCGGACGGGUGAGUAACACGCGGGAACGUGCCUUUAGGUUCGGAAUAGCUCCUGGAAACGGGUGGUAAUGCCGAAUGUGCCCUUCGGGGGAAAGAUUUAUCGCCUUUAGAGCGGCCCGCGUCUGAUUAGCUAGUUGGUGAGGUAACGGCUCACCAAGGCGACGAUCAGUAGCUGGUCUGAGAGGAUGACCAGCCACACUGGGACUGAGACACGGCCCAGACUCCUACGGGAGGCAGCAGUGGGGAAUCUUGCGCAAUGGGCGAAAGCCUGACGCAGCCACGCCGCGUGAAUGAUGAAGGUCUUAGGAUUGUAAAAUUCUUUCACCGGGGACGAUAAUGACGGUACCCGGAGAAGAAGCCCCGGCUAACUUCGUGCCAGCCGCCGCGGUAA
rnacentral:rRNA from 1 species